UUGCUCGCUUCAGCAGCAUACAUAUUAAAACUAGAACAAUACAGAGAUUACAUGACUCCUGAGCAAGAAUGACACAUAAAUUUGCAAAGUGUUCAUAUUUUUU
rnacentral:snRNA from 1 species